rnacentral:rRNA from 1 species
GUAGUCUCGCACAGAUGCAUAUCAAUAAGCGGAGGAAAAGAAACUAACAAGGAUUCCCUUAGUAACGGCGAGUGAAGCGGGAAGAGCUCAAAUUUGAAAUCUUCAAGGUUUUACCUUGACGAAUUGUAGUUUAAAGAAGUGUUUUCCGUUGAAGUUUUGGUAAAAGUUCUUUGGAAUAGGACAUCAUAGAGGGUGAGAAUCCCGUAUUUGACCAUUAUUUUCAGCUGUGUGAUACACUUUCAAAGAGUCGGAUUGUUUGGGAAUGCAGUCCAAAAUGGGUGGUAAAUUUCAUCUAAAGCUAAAUAUUGGCGAGAGACCGAUAGCGAACAAGUACCGUGAGGGAAAGAUGAAAAGAACUUUGAAAAGAGAGUUAAACAGUACGUGAAAUUGUCAAAAGGGAAGCGUUUGACACCAGUGUUGUUUUCUCGAAAAUCAAUUAAAAAGAGUUAGAUUUUGUUGUGUAUUGACCUUAACAGCUUGCAUUUCAAUUUUCUUGCUUUUUUUAAUGCACUUUUCGUUUAACAAGUCAACAUCAGUUUCUUUUGUUGUAAAAAGGUCAUUGGAAGGUGGCUUUCUUUUCGGAGAGAGUGUUUAUAGCCUUUGACUCCUGCAAUCGGAGAGACUGAGGUCUGCAGCGUAGAUCCUUCGGGGUUAGAUACAUUUGUGCUAAGUUAUAGCUUUUUAUAGACAACUUGUUGACUAUGAUUAGUCUUGUAGCUUACUCGCUUAUGCUAUUUUACCUACGCUUAGGAUGUUGAAGAUGUAGCACAUCAU